rnacentral:rRNA from 1 species
UGCAAGUCGAACGCUUCUUUCCUCCCGAGUGCUUGCACUCGAUUGGAAAGAGGAGUGGCGGACGGGUGAGUAACACGUGGGUAACCUACCCAUCAGAGGGGGAUAACACUUGGAAACAGGUGCUAAUACCGCAUAACAGUUUAUGCCGCAUGGCAUAAGAGUGAAAGGCGCUUUCGGGUGUCGCUGAUGGAUGGACCCGCGGUGCAUUAGCUAGUUGGUGAGGUAACGGCUCACCAAGGCCACGAUGCAUAGCCGACCUGAGAGGGUGAUCGGCCACACUGGGACUGAGACACGGCCCAGACUCCUACGGGAGGCAGCAGUAGGGAAUCUUCGGCAAUGGACGGAAGUCUGACCGAGCAACGCCCCGUGAGUGAAGAAGGUUUUCGGAUCGUAAAACUCUGUUGUUAGAGAAGAACAAGGACGUUAGUAACUGAACGUCCCCUGACGGUAUCUAACCAGAAAGCCACGGCUAACUACGUGCCAGCAGCCGCGGUAAUACGUAGGUGGCAAGCGUUGUCCGGAUUUAUUGGGCGUAAAGCGAGCGCAGGCGGUUUCUUAAGUCUGAUGUGAAAGCCCCCGGCUCAACCGGGGAGGGUCAUUGGAAACUGGGAGACUUGAGUGCAGAA